rnacentral:rRNA from 1 species
AGGGGGUUUGAUCCUGGCUCAGGACGAACGCUGGCGGCAGGCUUAACACAUGCAAGUCGAACGCUCUCUUCGGAGAGAGUGGCAGACGGGUGAGUAACGCGUGGGAACCUACCUAGUAGUACGGAACAACACAGAGAAAUUUGUGCUAAUACCGUAUACGCCCUCCGGGGGAAAGAUUUAUCGCUAUUGGAUGGGCCCGCGUUUGAUUAGCUAGUUGGUGAGGUAAUGGCUCACCAAGGCGACGAUCAAUAGCUGGUCUGAGAGGACGAUCAGCCACACUGGGACUGAGACACGGCCCAGACUCCUACGGGAGGCAGCAGUGGGGAAUAUUGGACAAUGGGGGAAACCCUGAUCCAGCCAUGCCGCGUGAGUGAUGAAGGCCCUAGGGUUGUAAAGCUCUUUCAACGGUGAAGAUAAUGACGGUAACCGUAGAAGAAGCUCCGGCUAACUUCGUGCCAGCAGCCGCGGUAAUACGAAGGGAGCUAGCGUUGUUCGGAAUUACUGGGCGUAAAGCGCACGUAGGCGGGAUUGUUAAGUGAGGGGUGAAAUCCCCAGGGCUCAACCCUGGAACUGCCUUUCAUACUGGCAAUCUUGAGUUCGAGAGAGGUGAGUGGAAUUCCGAGUGUAGAGGUGAAAUUCGUAGAUAUUCGGAGGAACACCAGUGGCGAAGGCGGCUCACUGGCUCGAUACUGACGCUGANGUGCGAAGCGUGGGGAGCAAACAGGAUAGAUACCCUGGUAGUCCACGCCGUAAACGAUGGAAGCUAGCUGUUGGGCAUUUACUG